AUGAACGCUGGCGGCGUGCCUAAUACGUGCAAGUCGAGCGAACGGACGAGAAGCUUGCUUCUCUGAUGUUAGCGGCGGACGGGUGAGUAACACGUGGAUAACCUACCUAUAAGACUGGGAUAACUUCGGGAAACCGAAAUAAUACCGGGUGAUAUUUUGAAACGCAUGGUUCAAAAGUUAAAGACGGUCUUUGUGUCACUUAUAGAUGGAACCGCGCUGCAUUAGCUAGUUGGUAAGGUAACGGCUUACCAAGGCAACGAUGCAUAGCCGACCUGAGAGGGUGAUCGGCCACACUGGAACUGAGACACGGUCCAGACUCCUACGGGAGGCAGCAGUAGGGAAUCUUCCGCAAUGGGCGAAAGCCUGACGGAGCAACGCCGCGUGAGUGAUGAAGGUCUUCGGAUCGUAAAACUCUGUUAUUAGGGAAGAACAUAUGUGUAAGUAACUGUGCACAUCUUGACGGUACCUAAUCAGAAAGCCACGGCUAACUACGUG
rnacentral:rRNA from 1 species